rnacentral:ribozyme from 1 species
AUAGGAUAAUAGUUCAUACCUUCUCGCGGUAUUCGGCGUAAAUAGUCAUAUGUCGUUUCGUCGACGAUGCCUGUACGAUGCCUAAACGACGCGUUGAUGAAACCAAACUGAAC